UGGGGAAUAUUGCACAAUGGAGGGAACUCUGAUGCAGCGACGCCGCGUGAACGAAGAAGGCUUUCGAGUCGUAAAGUUCUUUUAUAUGGGAAGAUAAUGACGGUACCAUAAGAAGAAGCCCCGGCUAACUACGUGCCAGCAGCCGCGGUAAUACGUAGGGGGCUAGCGUUGUCCGGAAUCACUGGGCGUAAAGGGUUCGCAGGCGGAAAUGCAAGUCAGGUGUAAAAGGCAGUAGCUUAACUACUGUAAGCAUUUGAAACUGCAUAUCUUGAGAAGAGUAGAGGUAAGUGGAAUUUUUAGUGUAGCGGUGAAAUGCGUAGAUAUUAAAAAGAAUACCGGUGCGAAGGCGACUUACUGGGCUCAUUCUGACGCUGAGGAACGAAAGCGUGGGUAGCAAACAGG
rnacentral:rRNA from 1 species